rnacentral:rRNA from 1 species
CGGGGUGCAGCAGGCGCGAAAACUUUACAAUGCCGGCAACGGCGAUAAGGGAACCUCGAGUGCCAGGUUACAAAUUUGGCUGUCGUGACGCCUAAAAAGCAUUGCAUAGCAAGGGCCGGGCAAGACCGGUGCCAGCCGCCGCGGUAACACCGGCGGCUCGAGUGGUAACCGUUAUUAUUGGGUCUAAAGGGUCUGUAGCCGGCCGGAUAAGUCUCUUGGGAAAUCUGGCAGCUUAACUGUCAGGCUUUCAGGAGAUACUGUCUGGCUCGAGGCCGGGAGAGGUGAGAGGUACUUCAGGGGUAGGGGUGAAAUCUUGUAAUCCUUGAAGGACCACCAGUGGCGAAGGCGUCUCACCAGAACGGACCUGACGGCAAGGGACGAAAGCUAGGGGCACGAACCGGAUUAGAUACCCGGGUAGUCCUAGCCGUAAACGAUACUCGCUAGGUGUCGGCCACGGUGCGACCGUGGUCGGUGCCGUAGGGAAGCCGUGAAGCGAGCCACCUGGGAAGUACGGCCGCAAGGCUGAAACUUAAAGGAAUUG